rnacentral:lncRNA from 1 species
GCUGAAUAGCAUCUGGGCCUAAAGCCUUAAUAAGAGGCCUUAUAUAGAGAGAGAGAAAUAUAUAUAUAUAUAUAUAUAUAUAUAUAUAUUACUACAAUAUAAAAACGGGAGUUCAACUGUACAAAAAAUGUACGAACAAGGGUAAUUUAGGAAUUGUAGUUAUUUUUCAAGGGUAUUUUGGUUUCAUACUUUCAAUUGCAGCGCUCCCAUUUUCGUCUUCCAAGUGACACGUGUUUAGCAGUUUCAUUUUUCUUGGACAACUUACUAUUAGUUCCAUUUUCACUUCUAUUUCCCAUGUACUCCACUUUUUAUUUUGUUCUUCUCCCUCACCUUUCUUUUUUCUAAGUCAUGGUUUUGGUACAUUUGGCGGAAGUUUUUUGUAUGUCCUUUUAUUGUAAUGGGUCUUUGUUUUAAACCCUCCAAAACUACAUUAAAAGCUUUGUCUUUGGCAGUGAAAGAUCAGAAGAUCCAUUGAUUUGUCAAGUGUAAGUGAUGACAUCUUACAUAAAUUAAAGGAGAGAUAGUUUCGCGCUAAAUAUCUAAAGAAAUUGUGAAGUUGGUACUUGGGGUUACAUUGUCAUCUACUUGAUUUUUCCUUCUUCUUUUUUUGAAUGUCGUGUGUUUGAUUUUGUUUGAGUGAAUUAACUUUUAAUUUGUGAUUGCAUGGCCAAAAAUAAACUAGGGCUUGAUGCCUUUAGAUCAACUAUGCUGAAUUAAUUUAUUUUUAUUCUCUUUCCAUUUGGAGAGAUGUUGGAUUCUAUUAAGCUUUCGGCUUUUCUUGAAAUUGGGAGUCAACUAUCAGCUGGCUCUUAUUAUUAUUUUCUGCAGUACUUAAACUUAAAAUGUGAUUUCUCUAUGUUUGUUCUCUUUCUGAGGGUACUGUUUAUAUUGUUCUUAAAUGGAAAUGCAAUAUGAUUUUUUUUUUUAAUCUUCUCAAUUUGAUUUUUGCCUUUUGUUCUUUGUAGGCUCAUGUCCAUUCUGGGUUUGGAGGUCUCCAUUUUUAUAUGUGAAUAAAUUACCCAGAUCGAUAUAUAUUUUUCUAUGAAUUUGCUACAAUUCCAAUAUAGAUGCAUGCAGUUUGUUAUCCAAUUAUAAUUUUCUCCAAUAUAGAUGAUUGCCUGCAUUCUGCUACAUUGCUUUUUUUUGGUUUUGCAGGGAAGUAAAGCUGAUCAAUUUCAGAUAUUAGCUACGGCCUGUUUAUCGCUUGCAUCCAAGAUGGAAGAUAUGGAUCCUCCUUUGACUGUUGAUUUGCAUGUUACUUAAAUUUAUCAACAGGUGAUAUGAUUUCUCUAUUUGUAAUGUCGAAUCUAUAUGAUAAAGAUACUUGUGUUCUUAGCUUUAAUUGGGUGUAUUUUAUGGUUAUAAUGGCAUCAGUGCCUUGUACCUUGCUCUUCUGUUAAUUUCUUUUGUGGUUAGUUUCUUGCUACCCAAAAUAAAUGGUAAUUUUGAGUACUACAUGAACUUGCCCAUCUUCAGAGUAGGCAAAGUAAAUCUCUUUCUCUUUCUCUCUCGCCUUGAGGCGUUCCCCGUCAAGCAACGGCUGAGGCAGAAAAGGCAUAUUUUUUAUGCUCUAGAGCUUUAUGUUCUAUUGACAAUGAAUUAACAGUAGCAGAAGUAUGGAAAAUUGGAUUUUUUUUCUCAAUGAAUUUUGUGUUGCUAUUUUAUGGUUGUUCGAUGUAAGGCUAAGAAUGACUGCAAUUUCCAGAAGAUGUCAUUCAUUUUGUGCUCCAACAUUCUUGCCUUGUCCGAUUUGUAAUGAGUAAGUUUUUCUUCUUUUGCUUUACUGGUAUUGGCUGGCUAUUGCACCUAAGAGCCUUUUGUGGCUAUACAUAGAUGAAAAGAAAUAGCUUCUUAUUAUAGCAUGUCAAUUGUCAAGCAGGUGAGAAUGAAAUUAAAAAAAGGUAACAGCUUCCUUAAAAGCUAAAUAUGUAUGGUGUUGGUGAAGCAUGUUAAAGGAUAGUGAAUUAACAAAUUUAAUCUUGCAGAUAAAAGUGAGGACAUAUUUGAAAUCAAGGUUGUGGGUCUGAUAUCAAAUCUGGAAAUAUUUGAUGGUUCUGGUGCAGGCUCUUCAAAAGGAAAGACCUUUUUCUGCGAUCUUUGCCUUUGAGGGGAUUAUUAGACAGAUAGAAUCGUUUGAUGAAUGAUCUGGCAAUGUGAUCGGGAAAAAAACAAAUCUUUAACGGAACCAUCUAAUUGUUAAAAGUAACUGUGUUUAAGAAGAAUCUUCCAUCAAAUUGAGCUAAAAAAUUUCCUGACCUCUUAAUCUUGAAAAACUUUUGGGCAAUGAUACAUGUUCUGAGUAAUGAGUUUACCUUUCCUACUAGGUUCCUUUGCUUAUUAUUUUGGUGAGUGCACUCCUGUGGAUGCCUAUGAUAUUGGAGAUAAGUUUCAAGGGUUCUUGUUAUGCUAUUGUAGCACAUAUUUGGAGCUCCUAUGCCAAAUGAAAAAGGAAUAAAUUUUUUUUAGCGAAUUACAUCCUACUUUUUUACUUUUAACUUAGUGCAACUGCUUUACUUUUAACGUGGAGUAACUCCAUAUCUGUAUGCUAGACAUCUGGUGUGCAACUUAAGAUGAGUUUAAAUCGUGACUGCAGAGUUGGGGGUGUAGGAAGGAUAAGGAGAAAGAGCAGAGAGUACUUCCCUAGACAUACAGCUGAAUACAUAAGAGUUUAUUAGGCUCCGAAUGACUCUUAAUGUUCCAUGAAUGAUUUUUUAUAUAACCCAAUCAACAUAGUGAUUUUCAUUUGGAAGGUAUGUAACUUAUUAUUGAGCUUGCAGUAUAUUAAUCUAUGUAUCAUUGCAUUUAUCUUCUCAAGGAACCAGAAAAAUGAAAUGGAUACAGAUUGUCUAAGUUGCUCCGACAUGGCAGUUUAGGUACCGCACCCGUGUCGACACGAUACUAGUAUGGGUGUGGGUAUGGGAUCCAUACCGGAUCUGGUCAAAUAAUUUUUGGUACUUUGACCACGACGGACGGAAAAAUUCGAGACGAGAUACAAUGUGAUUCCCGUAAUCAUAACCAAAACUAGGGAAGAAAAUAGCAUACCUUAUUUAGGAAAUCAAUCCUUUAUUUAUCUACAACUUGAGAAUAAAACAUCCACACUUUACAAGCUAUAUGUAAGUAUUCCUCAAAAUUUCUCGUAACUUAGGGAUUUUUUUAUUUUUUAUUCUUUUGAAUUAUAUUUAGCCGAAUCCCUAUACCCAUAUCCGUACUAGGAUACGUAUCCCCGAAUGUUAGGAUUUACAUCUCGAAGGAUGCGACCUCUAGAUCCGCACCCGUGUCGGACACCCACACCCGUUUCCGAGCAACUUAGCUGAUUGUGCUUAUGAUAGGGAUUCUACGACCAUUUUUAUUGUCCUUGUGCUUAUUUUAAUAUUGAUGGGUGCUUUAUUGUAGAUGCAAAUAUGAUUUCAGGGGAAAAAUAUUAGAGGAUACUGGCUAUGUAGUUGGAACAUGAAUUUUGAAAUUCCUCAACCAAAGAAAAAAAUGUAUGAAAUUGCUUUUGCAAUUUACUCCCAGCUAUUUUUAUUUUAACUAUAACUGGAAAAUAUAUAUCUUAACUAGAGAGUUGGGAAGUAGGAAAAAUUUUAGAAAGGAAAAAAAAGAAAGAGCAAGAGUUUGGUAAAAUAUAUUUGUUGUAUUUGUAGUUGUGUAUAAGAAACAUGUUGAAAUUUACUCUGUUUGCUUGCAUGUGUUUUCUAUGGCACUACUGCUACUUUGUCUAAUUUUGUGUUAACAAGAAAAAUUAGGUAUGGCUUUUAAUUAUUCAAAGUUAUAUCUCCAUUUGCUUGCAUGUAUAUUUGAAAGUGCUGGUUGGCUAAGGUUAGAAAGCCUAGAAAGUGGAAUGAAAAUGGCACAAAAAUUUUUAGGAUUACUACCAUUAGACUCCCUUAUGAAUUGUAGGUUGACAUAAUCUCGAAGGAAUAUAAGAAAUGUUAUCAGAAGGCUAGCAUACAUAAAUUAUGAGAUAUCUGGCUUAGUUUUAGGAUUGAGUCCUAUUGUGGGAGGCUUGAAAAAUACUGGGACUUAUAUUAUAGCAGCUCUGUCGACAUUAGUUGGCACAAUAGUUAGAUCGCCAACCUCAACAGAUUGGGAAGUGGGUAAGGAUUUUGGAACUAAAUGUUUGUUGAUAAGCAAUUUUACCAUACUUAAUGUUGAUCAUGUUGUAAGAACAUUGAGAAAAGGUAACUAAUUGAGGCUAAAUCAAGAAACUAUGGUCCUCUGACUCUUAAAACACAUAAGCUCGGCAUGGAUAAAAGUGGUUUGGAUCACAGCUAGAGCCUGUCGUGUUUGGUGAAACUUGUGCAUGGUAUAUAUUUUUGGUACAGUAGGAAUAUGAACAAGAACAGGGAGAACAUCAUUAAAAUAAACCAUAUGAGGCAUCAAGGUGUAAUUAAAUAAUAUAUGCCACCGAGCUUUAAGUUACUCAGGAAGAAGUCCAUUGUUGUGCUCGACUAAUGAUUGACAUACACAAAUGACGAUUUUACAUUAUUAGUCUGGAAAAGACAUUGAUAGUGCUAUUUUCCAGCUACAUUGUAGCAUUACAAAGCUCAUGAAGUUAUUGAACAUGUAUGUAAUGAAUAUGCAGCUAAAUUCACUCUUUUCCAUGGCCGCAAGGAAGCAUUUGCCAUAUUGGUGCCCUUAAAUACCUUGUUAUGUUGUUGUAAUCCCGUUCUAUUAUGAUUUGUUUUGCAUGUGUUGUUCAUACAGAUAAAGGUGAGUUUACGCUGAAAAGGAAUUAAUGAUAGCGAUUUUUGGUACUUCUUUUUUAUUCUUACCCGUGGGAGUGCGAAUUAAGUAUUUUGUAUUUCCGUCUGUGGUAGCCAUAGGAAAGCAAUAGCAAUUUCGUCUUAUGAGUUUGAUUCAAUUGAGUUUGGGGAGGGUAGUGUAUGCAAACCUUACCCCUACCUUGUGUAAAUAGAGAGGUUAUUUCUAAUAGACCCUCGGCUUAAGAAAAGCGAUUUUCAAAACAGGUUUGGAAAAAAAAAGCAACACGAUAGUGAUAGUGUAGUUUUAGUUGACAUGUCUCAUAUUUUAUAUUGGUGUAAUAGUUGUUCUAAGACCUUCUCAAUGAUGCAGGGAAGGAGAAAAGACGCAAGACUUCUUGGUAUUUAUCUUUCUUGGCAUUACAUGGAUAGUGGCGUAGUUUGAAAAGAAAAAUAACACCACUACUUCAAUUUGUCUAAUGUGUAUGUACCUGUUAAUUUUUCAAGAUCUAUUUUGUUUUUUUGGAGACUCAAGUUUGUAAAGAUAAUGGUUAUAAAUUAGAUAUUUGUGCUAUUUAACUAGGUGAUGCCUGACUAUGAAAUUUAUACAUAAUUCCUGCGAUCUUGUAGGCUGUUCACAAGUGCUGUAACUGCUUGAGUAGCCUGGAGCGAAAAUACCCAAAUUUAAAUUUUACUCAUGUUGGGCACUAAUACUCAUGUAUGCACUACUAGUAUAUGUAUAUAGCAUCGAUAUUUGAAAAUAGACAAGUGAGUAUGUGAACUGAAA